rnacentral:rRNA from 1 species
GAUCAUGGCUCAGAUUGAACGCUGGCGGCAGGCCUAACACAUGCAAGUCGAACGGUAACAGGAAUCAGCUUGCUGAUUUGCUGACGAGUGGCGGACGGGUGAGUAAUGUCUGGGAAACUGCCUGAUGGAGGGGGAUAACUACUGGAAACGGUAGCUAAUACCGCAUAACGUCGCAAGACCAAAGAGGGGGACCUUCGGGCCGUCUUGCCAUCGGAGUGUGCCCACGAUGGGAUUAG